GUCCUCCCGGCGUCGCGGCUGCAUCGACGGCCUGCAGGGGCAUUGCGCGGCACGUGGAGGCCCCUCGCGGCGACUGAUUUCAGUCGCCCCUCCUUGCGCUCCCCUCCUUCCGGCGCCCGUUCUUAGCAGCAGUGCCCACUCCCGGCGGCAGGGUGCUCGCAUAGGGUGGCCAUAGCGCUCGAUCUCGCGUGGGGCCGCCCAUGGCCGUGACGUUCGAUCUUCCGUGGGGCCCGCUCAAGGUGGCUGCGGUGCUGGAGCUCCAGGCGGCACAGUGCUCUCACUCAAUUCCGGUGACGGCACCCAAAUUCGAGAUCCCACAGCACCCUCUCUCUGCAGGCCAACUGAUUAACUGAUUAUACGACUUGCAUCUAUUGGUUAACUUGAUUAGCUUCCUUGCUUGCUGUGGAUGCAAGUUCAUCUAGUAACUCGCAUGCAAGCUCAUGGCGCCAUUGCCUGUGGCUGGAUCAAGCACCUCGAGGCGGUUGGCGGGGACGGCGAGCGGGGAGGGCCGGAGGGCCAUCUGCAUCGACCCUGGAGCGAGGGGUCGCCAACGGCGGAGAGUAUCGCGACCACGUCGCGCCGGUGCUGCGUGCCAAAUGGAACUAGCAUCGCAGGAACCUCGUGCUCGCGGCACGCGCCGCCAUGAGAGGAGCGGCCGCCGGAAAUUCGCGCACCAUCCAGUUCUCGGAGAGGAUGAGAAUUGAUAGAUAAAGCCAAGGGUAGGAUAGUCAAUUAGUAUGCUCUUCUAUUAAAAUUGAAUAUAAUAAUGGGUGUAGUGUUCUGGAGCAAAUUACCACAUUUUUGUAGUGUCUUGGAACAAAGAUAAAUUUUUUUAAUGGUCCGUAGCAAAACUCACACUUGAAGAGUGUUUCCUGGCCAAUUUUGCCUAAUGAUUAGUGGAGAUGGAUUGGUGCUACGACCACAACGUUUGAGCAAAUCAUCUAGUGCUAGCAUACUAGCAUUCUUGUAUUGGCCUCCAAAGAAUUAGUAGUGACUAGCUCAUUGAAUGGUUUCCUGCAGAAUAAUGGAGUUGAUCAGAAUGGUUGGUGUUGCAUGAACAAAAAGGAAAAGUUAUCAUUUUUUAAUUUUGAUUCAUGACUUUGUUUUGGCUCAAUUUUAUUUGCUCUGUACCAGCCCCAAAAAUAUCAUGGAUGUUUUGUGAUUUUUGCCUUCCUACUUCACAUUAGUUCAUAAAAAAUGCUAAACACUAUGAAACUCCGUGUGUUGGUUUGGUAUCUCUCUGCUGCUUUGAGCAUCCCUUCCUUUCUAUUCUUCUGUCAUCGCGGAUCUACUGUUUGGUAGCACUUUUUUUUACUUCUAAAAGGCAUCGACUGCAACUCGAUGGGUAGCCUGGAGAUCAUGUCGUUCAUAUAAAAUAAACGUAACUUUUGACUCAAAGUGGAAGAUCAUGUAGUUCAUGUGUAGACAUUUUCAGAUACAAAGUUCACUAGUUGGUCACCUUUAUCUCGUAUUGAAAAUCAGAUCUCAUGACUUAUGAUAGGUUAAGAUGCAAUUUCUUCUCAGGCGUAGCUAUGCAGCACUGUCGGAGUGUGGUUGUGGCCUUUGAGUGUGCUUGUAUUGGUAUGUAUAAAGUUCUGGAUUGUGUAGUGUAACCAACGAGAAAAUGUGUAUUUGCAUGUAUGAAGAAACAUAUGCGAAACUCCGGAUCGUGUAGAUUAAUAAAUAAAAUUCUCAUCAGUUCUCCGGUACUUGAAGGUAGCAGGUAUGCGCUUCAUUUAUGGAUGAUGUUUGUCCUUUCCCGUCCUACUGUUUUGGUUGGUUAAUUGUCUGCUUAAGUGUAGCUGCUCAUUCAGUUUUUUUGCUUCAUAUUCAACAUCUCUUUCUGUGUAUAUUGCCUAAAUGCACUCUUCUAAGGCUCUAACUAUUCAGCGUCUCUUUCAUGUGUGCAUUGCUUCCCGUGGUACUAUGAUUGAGGCAUGUUGUUGUUUAACUAGUUAAUCUGCUCAUUUGAGAUGAAUUUUUAUUAUUGUUUUCAGUAAUUCAAUGUUUAAAUCUCUGCUUAGGUGUGCUAUGAGGGAUGAGGCAGUACUAUCUAUACGAAUAGCAACCAAUAGUCUGCAGAUGUGACGACUUGCUUGAGGCCACACUAUUACUUUCUUCCCCUUCAAGCUGAGCCUACACAACGCCCUGGUGCUAGCUAUGCUCACCAUCGAAGGCAGCCACAAUCUUCAUGCUCAGUAGGUACAGUGGGGCAGCCGAUAAUCAGAGGAGUAGCGUUGGGCAUUAUGCGCGUGUGGCGGUGGUCAUUGGUACCACAUCCGCGUCUUCCUCCGCGAGCAGCAGUCAAUAGGUGGAAGGUGCGAGCAGUUGAGAUUUGGAGAAAAUAGAGAGCAGAGUGAGGAGUGAUCCUACCCCGAUACUACUCUUUUCGUGGAGAAGAAAUUGCUGAGACAAAAGGAGAAGACUUUCUUUGUGCUUGCUGAUUUGAGAAAUGAAAAGCAGAUAGAGAGCUGCUUCUUGCUGUGCUUUGCCGGUGAGCAACAGAGCUACAUUUGGUACUAGUGAGUACUUAUACUGAUGGUACUAGUGUAUUCAGGUAUCAGCGAGCACAUAAAGUUAGAAAAAAACAUGGCAUAGAUACGAUGCUACAAAGUGAUUAUUUAUGGGCAAUGUACCAGCAUGUAUCAGGAGGCCGUGUGGAUAUAUUUUAGUUAAAUUUUAAUCCUCUCUAGGGCCUGCUACUUUAAUUCAAAAUCUAAAAAAAUUGCUCUGAGAUUAGCGGAUUCGUUCA